GCAGUAGUGGUUCAGUGGUAGAAUUUUCGCCUUCCAUGCAGGAAACCCAGGUUUGAUUCUUGGCCAAUGCA
rnacentral:tRNA from 1 species